AGGUGGUGGGGGAGAAGGUGGGGAGCGAGUGCCUGUCAAUGUGGUAUUCCAGGACGACAGCCUCUGUUAUCUUGACAGACUGCUCCUCAAGAAUCACCGCAGAACACCAAUCAAACUGCAUCGACUGAAUUCAGACCCCGGCCUCGAUUCAACAUUGCUGGCUCACACUCAGGACGGGCCGGCGGACCGCACCCUGACUGCGGAAGAUGAGGACUUCCGACGCUACUAUGCAUCAUUGUUUGCUGUCCCCACCACUAGGGGCAGUGUGGGACCCACAAGCAACUCCCCUGUGUCUUGCCUCACCAUAGAAGUGCUGAAUGAG
ensembl:lncRNA